GGGUGAGUAAUGAAUAGGUAACGUACCCCGAGCUCUGGGAUAGCCAUCCGAAAGGAUGGGUAAUACCGGAUAACCUCACGAGUCGAUGGGCUCGUGAGCAAAGAUUCAUCGGCGCGGGAGCGGCCUAUUUCCUAUCAGCUAGUUGGUGAGGUAACGGCCCACCAAGGCGAAGACGGGUAGCGGGACUGAGAGGUUGGCCCGCCACAUCGGAACUGAGACACUGUCCGGACCCCCACGGGGGGCUGCAGUAACGAAUCUUGGGCAAUGGGCGAAAGCCUGACCCAGCGACGCCGCGUGCGGGAGGAAGUCCUUCGGGAUGUAAACCGCUGUCAGGCGUAAGAAAGUCCACUUCGGUGGAUUGAUCCAACCCAGAGGAAGUCACGGCUAACUCUGUGCCAGCAGCCGCGGUAAGACAGAGGUGGCUAGCGUUGUUCGGUAUCACUGGGCUUAAAGCGUGUGUAGGCGGAGCGUAAGCAUUUUGUGAAAUCCCCCGGCUCAACCGGGGCAUUGCUUGAUGUACUGCGUUCCUUGAGGCAAGUAGGGGUGCGAGGAACUCUUGGUGGAGCGGUGGAAUGCGUAGAUAUCAAGAGGAACGCCGAUGGUGAAGACAUCGCACUAGGCUUGUCCUGACGCUGAGACACGAAAGCGUGGGGAGCGAACGGGAUUAGAUACCCCGGUAGUCCACGCCGUAAACGAUGCCUACUAGAUUGUGGCGGUUCUGACGCCGGCACAGUCGAAGCCAAAGUGUUAAGUAGGCCGCCUGGGGAGUACGGUCGCAAGGCUAAAACUCAAAGGAAUUGACGGGGGCUCACACAAGCGGUGGAGCAUGUGGAUUAAUUCGAAGCAACGCGCAGAACCUUACCUGGGUUUGACAUGCUUGGAUGCCUUUCUGGAAACAGAGUAGGCUACCCUUCGGGGUGAAACUUGCACAGGUGCUGCAUGGCUGUCGUCAGCUCGUGUCGUGAGAUGUCGGGUUAAGUCCCUUAACGAGCGAAACCCUUACCGUUAGUUACCAGCGGGUCAUGCCGGGAACUCUAGCGGGACUGCCGGUGUUAAACCGGAGGAAGGCGGGGAUGACGUCAAGUCAUCAUGGCCUUUAUGCCCAGGGCCUCACACGUGCUACAAUGGUCGGUACAAAGCGACGCGAGACCGCAAGGUGGAGCAAAUCGCAAAAAACCGGCCCCAGUUCGGAUUGUAGGCUGGCAACUCGCCUGCAUGAAGUUGGAAUCGCUAGUAAUCGCGGAUCAGCUAUGCCGCGGUGAAUGUGUUCCUGAGCCUUGUACACACCGCCCGUCAUGUGAUGGGAGUUGGAAGUACCCGAAGUCGGGUUGCUAACCUCGCAAGAGGAGGCGCCUGCCGACGGUAAGUCCGACGACUGGCACUAAGUCGUAACAAGGUA
rnacentral:rRNA from 1 species